UGCCCUGGGGAUCAGGUCUCU
rnacentral:miRNA from 1 species